GAAGAAGGCCUGGCUAGAUAACAGGUCAAGCCUGAUGGCAGCAGGGAAGAAGAAGGCCUGACUAGAUAACAGGUCAAGCCUGAUGGCAGCAGGGAAGAAGGCCUGGCUAGAUAACAGGUCAAGCCUGAUGGCAGCAGGGAAGAAGAAGGCCUGGCUAGAUAACAGGUCAAGCCUGAUGGCAGCAGGGAAGAAGGCCUGGCUAGAUAACAGGUCAAGCCUGAAGGCAGCAGGGAAGAAGGCCUGGCUAGAUAACAGGUCAAGCCUGAAGGCAGCAGGGAAGAAGAAGGCCUGGCUAGAUAACAGGUCAAGCCUGAUGGCAGCAGGGAAGAAGGCCUGGCUAGAUAACAGGUCAAGCCUGAUGGCAGCAGGGAAGAAGAAGGCCUGGCUAGAUAACAGGUCAAGCCUGAUGGCAGCAGGGAAGAAGAAGGCCUGGCUAGAUAACAGGUCAAGCCUGAAGGCAGCAGGGAAGAAGGCCUGGCUAGAUAACAGGUCAAGCCUGAAGGCAGCAGGGAAGAAGAAGGCCUGGCUAGAUAACAGGUCAAGCCUGAUGGCAGCAGG
rnacentral:lncRNA from 1 species